AGUGAACGCUGGCGGCGUGCUUAACACAUGCAAGUCGAACGAGAACGGAUUAUAGCUUGCUAUAAUUGUCAGCUAAGUGGCGCACGGGUGAGUAAUGUAUAGGUAAUAUGCCUCUUACUAAGGGAUAACAAUUGGAAACGAUUGCUAAUACCUUAUAUUCCUUUUUAUCAAAAGAUAAAAGGGAAAGAUUUAUUGGUAAGAGAUUAGCCUGUAUUGUAUCAGUUAGUUGGUGGGGUAAUGGCCUACCAAGACAAUGACGCAUAACUGGUUUGAGAGGAUGAUCAGUCACACUGGAACUGAGACACGGUCCAGACUCCUACGGGAGGCAGCAGUGGGGAAUAUUGCACAAUGGACGAAAGUCUGAUGCAGCAACGCCGCGUGGAGGAUGACACAUUUCGGUGCGUAAACUCCUUUUAUAUAAGAAGAUAAUGACGGUAUUAUAUGAAUAAGCACCGGCUAACUCCGUGCCAGCCGCCGCGGUAA
rnacentral:rRNA from 1 species